UACGUAGGGUGCAAGCGUUGUCCGGAAUUAUUGGGCGUAAAGAGCUCGUAGGCGGUCUGUCGCGUCGGAUGUGAAAAUCCAGGGCUCAACCCUGGACCUGCAUUCGAUACGGGCAGACUAGAGUUCGGCAGGGGAGACUGGAAUUCCUGGUGUAGCGGUGAAAUGCGCAGAUAUCAGGAGGAACACCGGUGGCGAAGGCGGGUCUCUGGGCCGAAACUGACGCUGAGGCGCGAAAGCCAGGGGAGGCGAACGGG
rnacentral:rRNA from 1 species